rnacentral:rRNA from 1 species
UACGUAGGCAGCAAGCGUUGUUCGGAGUUACUGGGCGUAAAGGGCGCGUAGGCGGUUGGAUAAGUCUUGUGUGAAAUCUUCGGGCUCAACUCGAAGUCUGCACGAGAAACUAUCUGGCUUGAGUGUGGGAGAGGUGAGUGGAAUUCCUGGUGUAGCGGUGAAAUGCGUAGAUAUCAGGAGGAACACCUGUGGCGAAAGCGGCUCACUGGACCACAACUGACGCUGAGGCGCGAAAGCUAGGGGAGCAAACAGG